rnacentral:misc_RNA from 1 species
CGGACGAAAAUGCGAAGUUAAGGGUAGCCUAGCCUUACUCACACAGGCACACAUGUAGACACCUGUUCUGUUGAGGAAGAUGUGGAAAAUUCCUCACCAUACACUCCUCCUAACACUUCGCUCUAUUCCUCCUCCUCGCUGCAACAUGCUCUCCUUUCCUCUCCUCCUUCUCUUUUGGAUCUCUCCCAUUGGACUCAUUCUUUCCUUUAUUUUCCAUGUUCUCUCUCUUUCAUUCUUUCUUUCCACCAACUUUUCAAGAUUCUUGACACUGAACGCUACAACAACGAUGAAGGAUAGAAUUGAAGAAGAUGAGGACCAAGACGCUUUGGCGGGGCUAAGCCCUGUCCCGCCAACCAACCAUAAGAUACAUUGCUACAGCCAACAUAUACGUAGCAACUCCGGCCAGAAAAAACACCACCAACUCAGAAAACACAGCCUUGAUAACAUCCCACACUCUGCUUCCGAACGCUACUUUAAUUCUUCCGAUGAUGACUUCGUCCCAUACCCAUCCCAUUCCCUCUCCUCCUCUGCAUAUAGAAAUGUGGGUGGGAGUGGUGGUGAUGAGAUACUCCGGCAGAGGCUUGAUAUGAGCUUCACCGUCGAGGGUCCCCUCGAUGAUAUUGGGAAAACCAUAUUGCCAGAAUUCAUUGCUAGUGGAGGGACGGGAAUCUUCAAGGCUCCAAUCCGGGCAGCGGUUCAUCCUGGACGCCCCCCUUGUCUAGAACUUAGACCACACCCUCUUAGAGAAACGCAGAUGGGUAAAUUCUUGAGAAACAUUGCUUGUACAGAGACACAGUUAUGGGUUGGGCAGGAGAGUGGAGUCAGGUUUUGGACCUUUGAGAAUGCGUAUGACCCAGGGUGCGGAUUACAGGGAAGAGUGAGAAGGGGCGAUGAGGAUGCAGCGCCGUUUCAUGAGUCCGCAAACACGUCGCCUACAAUGUGUUUGAUGGUUGACAGUGGGAAUAGGUUGGUUUGGAGUGGACACAAGGACGGAAAGAUCAGGUCUUGGAAAAUGGAUCAACCAUUAGAUGAUAUUGCCCCUUUCAAGGAAGGAUUAUCAUGGCAGGCUCAUAAAGGUCCUGUUCUUUCUAUAGUAAUGAGUUCUUAUGGUGAUCUUUGGUCUGGUGGGGAAGGAGGUUUUAUUAAAAUCUGGCCAUGGGAAUCCAUUGAAAAAUCUCUUUCUCUUUCACCUGAGGAAAAGCACAUGGCUGCUUUAUUGGUGGAGAGGUCACAUAUUGACCUUAGGAGUCAAGUCACUGUAAAUGGUAACUGUCGUAUAUCUUCUUCAGAUGUGAAGUGCUUGUUAUCUGAUAAAGUUAGAGCUAAGGUUUGGUGUGCUCAACCUCUGUCCUUCUCUAUAUGGGAUGCUAAUACAAAAGAGCUUGUGAAAGUAUUCAAUAUUGACGGUCAAAUUGAAAACCGAGUUGACCUACCAUCAGCACAACAACAAGAUCAGCCAGUUGAAGAUGAGAUGAAGGUAAAAUUUGUUUCCACAUCAAAAAAGGAGAAAUCACAGGGCUUUUUGCAACGUUCACGAAAUGCCAUAAUGGGAGCUGCAGAUGCUGUACGUCGAGUUGCCACUAGGGGAGCAACAGCAUUUGUAGAAGAAACCAAGAGAACAGAAGCACUGGUGUUAACUUUAGAUGGAAUGAUAUGGAGUGGAUGUUCUAAUGGCCUCCUUGUGCAGUGGGAUGGAAAUGGAAAUCGUUUGCAAGAUUUCACUCACCAUUCUUCCACUGUUCAAUGUUUCUGCACAUUUGGAACAAGAAUAUAUGUGGGAUAUGUGAGCGGCAUUGUCCAAGUAUUGGAUCUUGAGGGAAAUCUUAUUGCAGUAUGGGUUGCACAUAGUAAUCCUGUGAUAAAGUUGGCAGUUGGGAAUGGUUAUAUUUUUAGCUUGGCUACUCAUGGAGGCAUUCGUGGAUGGAACCUCACAUCUCCAGGACCUCUCGACAGCAUAAUACGAUCAGAAUUAGCACAACAAGAAAUGGUAUACACAAGACGAGACAGUUUCAGAAUUUUAGUUGGCACAUGGAAUGUCGGUCAAGGAAGAGCAUCUCAUGAUGCCCUUAUGUCAUGGUUAGGUUCUGCUGUGUCAGAUGUUGGCAUUGUUGUUAUUGGGUUGCAAGAGGUAGAAAUGGGUGCAGGUUUUCUUGCAAUGUCGGCUGCCAAAGAAACAGUAGGACUUGAAGGGAGCUCUAUCGGGCAGUGGUGGCUGGAUAAUAUAGGGAAGGCGUUAGAAGAGGGAACAACUUUUGAACGUAUGGGUUCUAGGCAGCUUGCAGGUUUACUAAUAUCUCUUUGGGUGAGGAAGAAUCUUAGAGCACAUGUUGGGGAUGUUGAUGCUGGAGCAGUUCCAUGUGGCUUUGGACGUGCAAUUGGUAAUAAGGGAGGUGUAGGUUUGAGGAUCAGGGUUCUCGAUAGGAUAAUGUGCUUUGUGAACUGUCACUUGGCUGCACAUUUGGAAGCAGUCAAUCGUCGAAAUGCUGAUUUUGAUCACAUUUAUAGAAAUAUGGCGUUCAGCCGGUCAUCAAACCUUACAUCAGCUGGUAUGGUGCGACUCCUGUUUUUGUGUUGCUCUCUUGCCUUCUCCACAUAUUUAUUCUGGCUACUUUAUAUUUCUGGCUUGCCAUUGGUACUAUCUAUUGCAGCUGGUGUCUCAACAGCCACUCAAACGCUUAAGGGUUCAAAUGUAUGUUUUUAUUCUCAUUAUUACCUAUAACAGUAAUCUAUGGCUUUUCAUAAUUACAAUUAUUAACUGACUCUUUAUAAUUAAAAUUAUUAUCUUUAGUGACUAUGAUCAAUAACUUGGUUUUCACAGGCAGUGAGUGCGAACUCUGAAGACACGAAGCCUGAUUUAUCUGAGGCAGAUAUGGUUGUGUUUCUUGGUGAUUUUAAUUACCGUCUUUUUGGUAUAUCUUAUGAUGAAGCAAGGGAUUUUGUUUCACAAAGAAGCUUUGAUUGGCUUAGAGAAAAGGAUCAGCUCAGAGCAGAAAUGAAAGCAGGAAAAGUUUUCCAAGGAAUGCGUGAGGCUCUCAUCAGAUUCCCUCCUACCUACAAGUUUGAAAGAAACCAACCAGGUUUAGGAGGUAAAAUUGUUUUAUGGUAUUGGUUUAGGCUUCUCUGAAAAAUCUCCUAAGCGAGUUCUUUCUGAUAUCUUUUUGGAGUCAGUUCUCUUUAUUUAUUUACUUAUUCUUAUAUAAUAUCAUUCAAGGAACUUCCAUCAUGCAUUCUUCACAGGAUAUGAUUCUGGGGAGAAAAAGCGCAUUCCUGCUUGGUGUGAUAGAAUAAUAUAUCGUGACAAUCGGGUGGCUUCAGUAUCUGAUUGCAGCUUAGAGUGUCCUAUAGUCUCAUCAGUUGUACAGUAUGUUCCUUAGUAAGAAUUCUGAUGCAUUUUUUUCAUCCUCUAUUAUAUUUCAAACAUUUGGUCUCUAUGUGUACUAGGUAUGAGGCUUGCAUGGAUGUCACAGAGAGUGAUCACAAACCUGUCCGUUGUAAAUUCAAUGUCCAAAUUGCCCAUGUUGACAGAUCAGUGCGGAGACAAGAGUUUGGGGAAAUUAUUAGAUCUAAUGAGAAAGUCAGGUCUUUGCUUGAAGAAUCACGUUAUGUUCCAGAAACCAUUAUAAGCGCCAACAACAUUGUCCUUCAGAAUCAGGACACAUGCAUUCUGCGUAUUACUAACAAGUGCAUGAAGGAAAAAGCUGUUUUCAACGUUAUUUGUGAAGGUCAAUCCACUGUCAAGGAUGAUGGAGAAGAGCCAGAUUACCGUCCAAGAGGUUCCUAUGGCUUUCCACGAUGGCUUGAGGUCACACCGUCUGCUGGUAUAAUUAAACCUGAUCAGCAUGCAGAGAUCUCAGUACAUCAUGAAGAGUUUCAUAUCCUAGAAGAUUUUGUUGAUGGUAUCCCACAAAACUGGUGGUCUGAAGACACACGUGAUAAGGAAGUGAUUUUAGUUGUGGUUGUCCAGGGAAGCAGUUCAACAGAAAUGAGAAGUCACAGAAUCCAUGUUCGUCACUGCUUCUCAGCUAAGGCAGUUCGCCUUGAGUCAAAAUCAAACAACUCCAGAAAAAACCAGGGAGGAGCACUUAACCGAUCGGAACUCAGGCAAUUAAGCGGUUCUUCUGAUAAAGGCGAUGAUCUUCGAAAUUCACGUAAAUCUUGAAGCUAAAAUUGAAGGCUGAUAGAUAUAGAUGCAUCUGGAUGUAAAUAUUCUUGAGGCAUGAUCUCCUUCUCACUCAUUUCUGGACAGGUCCAAUUUGUUUGUUCUCAUGUAUUUAUCUUUGUAGUUUCAGUGAAUUUAUGAUU